GAACCCACCUGGCUGGCAUUACCACCGCGGCCGAAGGAGCCGCGUAGGAGCCCGAAGGGAAAGAUGCUGCCGUAGCCGCUCUGAUCGGCCCGACGAUCCUGUCCAGCACUGCUCGUGGUCGGAGAGUCCGUGAGCGAAUCCGGAUUCAGGGGUGACAUCUCCGAGUAGGCACGGCCCACCAGCUGAAGUUUGGGCGUGCGCCGCAUGGUUAUGGCAAUUACAAACGGUUAAUGGUGAGAUUCACACAAAACUGGGCAUCUUCGGGAGGAAUCGGGUGAUUUAUACGAUCAACAUAUAUUAUAUUCAGUUUGUCUAGGCAAAUUAGCGAAUGCCGCGAUUGCAAUCUAUUUCAAAUAUUAUGGAAAACACAGCGAUUACGAUUAGAGGAGCGCACGCGGCGCGCUCUGCUGGAAAACUGAAUGGAAUUGGAAGCAAAACCGCUGGCGCAGAAAGAGAAUCGUCAAUCGCUCUCCUGGCUCUCCUUUGUUUUAUUUUGCCUUAUAUUCUUUUUUUUUUUGAUAAAACCAAAAACAGUAACCCCAAAAACAGGGGUGUUUAUCAAACUAGGCGUGUGUGUUCCCAGUCCAGACACACACGUGAUGCGCGAAUGUGGGGCUGUCGCAAUGAAAACAAACGCGAAAAGCCAACGAACUACCAGAACUACCGAAGCCAUCGAUACCCUUGAAAAUUAAUAGGUCUGUCGAGGUUUUACUAGACAAGAACUCAUUCAUGGCAAGGAAACUAUUCAUUGCUACUCAUUGUUUAUGGCUAAGGAGAAGCACUAACAACAAUGAGCAUAACUCAUUCUAUACACACAAGUACACAAUAAAAAGAUCCUCAAAUUAAGAAUGUUUCUAUUUUUGCAACUCUAUAAGUUUAAAAUAGGAAAUAAAAGAAUUGAUUUGUGGGCACAUAAACCUAAGUGAUUUAUAUCGC
ensembl:ncRNA asRNA:CR44724 antisense RNA:CR44724